rnacentral:tRNA from 1 species
ACUUGGCUGGCUCAGUUGGUGGAGCACGUGACUCUAGAUCUCAGGGUUGUGAGUUCAAAGCCCCAUGUUGGGUA